CUCGUGAUCCACCCGCCUCGGCCUCCCAAAGUGCUGGGAUUACAGGCGUGAGCCACCGCGCUCGGCCAAUUUCGAAGUGUUUUCAAACUACUGCAGCCCUCUCCCAUUGCUGUGGUAACUGGAUGGAAAUGCAUCUAGCAAGAGAAAAUGUACAUAAAGAUUACCUCCCUCCCUGCUCUAGGUUUCUGCAGGUGAGAAGGUGUCGUGAUAGAAUAAUGAACAUUUCCUGUGGGGCUGGCACUGUGUUCUACAUAGAACUCAUUUAAUACAACAACCGUAUAACGAGGAAGCAAGCCAUGUGCAUCAAUUAUCAGGAACGCUUUAAUCCAACUGGGACCCCAAACAAACACCCCGUUUUAAUCCCGGGUGAAGUGAUACAAACAAUUUACAAAGCCUCACGACCCGGCAGCAACCCGAGUCUUACGUGAUCUGGCGAAACUCAUCUGCCUCCUAAGCUCCAACGCCACUGCUUUUCUUUCCCUGUCUCCAGCACUCAGCUCCUUCGGGUCUAUGGCAAUUGUACUUGCUGUUCCUCCUGCCUGGAUUAGUCCUACAGCUUGCCCUGACUGCAUCCUUCUCAUCAUUCAGAUCUCAACGCAAGCAUCACCUCCUUCCUCUGAGGCCUUGGCCUUCAACAUCCCAUUCCCUACCCCACAUCAUUCCAGACUGGAAGCUCUAGAGCUGGCAUUAGAACACUGUCUGGCCCACAAGCCUUCAAUACUUCAACAAAUGCUUGUUGAAUCCAAAAACGCUGAUUACCCUUCAAUCUGCCAGCUCACCCCACUCCCUCUCAAAAUACCUAGGAGAAUUAAUUUACAAAGAAAACAUAAGCAAGCGACAGCGUAACACAUCGACUCAAAACAAAGCCGGUAAUCCGGGGCUGAACUGGUCAACGGCAUUUAAAGAAGGCCCCAAGAAAACCCUUUCCUGAUCGUGCACACACUUUUCAAGAGGCGAAACCAGGGGGACAGGGCGGUCGGCGGCGCAGC
rnacentral:lncRNA from 1 species